rnacentral:rRNA from 1 species
UACGUAGGCAGCAAGCGUUGUUCGGAGUUACUGGGCGUAAAGGGUGUGUAGGCGGUUGUUUAAGUUUGGUGUGAAAUCUCCCGGCUCAACCGGGAGGGUGCGCCGAAUACUGAAUGACUAGAGUGCGGGAGAGGAAAGUGGAAUUCCUGGUGUAGCGGUGAAAUGCGUAGAUAUUGGGAAGAACACCAGUGGCGAAGGCGGCUCUCUGGACCGAUACUGACGCUGAGGCGCGAAAGCGUGGGGAGCAAACAGG